GAUGAACGCUGGCGGCGUGCCUAAUACAUGCAAGUCGAGCGAACAGAUGAGGAGCUUGCUCCUCUGACGUUAGCGGCGGUCGGGUGAGUAACACGUGGAUAACCUACCUAUAAGACUGGGAUAACUUCGGGAAACCGGAGCUAAUACCGGAUAAUAUAUUGAACCGCAUGGUUCAAUAGUGAAAGACGGUUUUGCUGUCACUUAGAGAUGGAUCCGCGCCGCAUUAGCUAGUUGGUAAGGUAACGGCUUACCAAGGCGACGAUGCGUAGCCGACCUGAGAGGGUGAUCGGCCACACUGGAACUGAGACACGGUCCAGACUCCUACGGGAGGCAGCAGUAGGGAAUCUUCCGCAAUGGGCGAAAGCUUGACGGAGCAACGCCGCGUGAGUGAUGAAGGUCUUCGGAUCGUAAAACUCUGUUAUUAGGGAAGAACAAAUGUGUAAGUAACUAUGCACGUCUUGACGGUACCUAAUCAGAAAGCCACGGCUAACUACGUG
rnacentral:rRNA from 1 species